rnacentral:rRNA from 1 species
UACAGAGGGGGCAAGCGUUGUUCGGAAUUACUGGGCGUAAAGGGCGCGUAGGCGGCCUGUUAAGUCGAACGUGAAAUCCCCGGGCUCAACCCGGGAACUGCGUCCGAUACUGGCAGGCUUGAAUUCGGGAGAGGGAUGCGGAAUUCCAGGUGUAGCGGUGAAAUGCGUAGAUAUCUGGAGGAACACCGGUGGCGAAGGCGGCGAUCCCUGGACCG